GACGAACGUUGGCGGCGUGCUUAAUACAUGCCAGUCCACUGAAGCAGUGGUAGCAAUAUCGCUGUGGAGGUGGCGCACGGGUGAGUAACACGUAGGUAAUCUGCCUUCAGGUCUGGCAUAACCCCGAGAAACCGGGGCUAAUAGCAGAUGAUGCAGCGGCUCUACAUCGAGACAGUUGUUAAAGCUAUGGCGCCUGAAGAUGAGCCUGCGUCUGAUUAGCUAGUUGGCGGGGUAACGGCCCACCAAGGCAACGAUCAGUAGCUGGUCUGAGAGGAUGAUCGGCCACACUGGAACUGAGACACGGUCCAGAAUACUACGGGAGGCAGCAGUAAGGAAUAUUGCUCAAUGGGAGAAAUCCUGAAGCAGCAACGCCGCGUGAGGGACGAAGGGCUUUUGCUUGUAAACCUCUGUAGUGAGAGAAAAAAAUCCCAAUCUUUGGGACAUGAUGGUAUCUCAAAAGUAAGCCCCGGCUAACUACGUG
rnacentral:rRNA from 1 species